UACGUAGGGGGCGAGCGUUGUCCGGAUUUAUUGGGCGUAAAGAGCGUGUAGGCGGCCAGGUAGGUCUGGUGUGAAAACUCGAGGCUUAACCUCGAGAUGUCAUCGGAAACCAUCUGGCUAGAGUCCGGAAGAGGAGAGUGGAAUUCCUGGUGUAGCGGUGAAAUGCGCAGAUAUCAGGAAGAACACCAAUGGCGAAAGCAGCUCUCUGGGACGGUACUGACGCUGAGACGCGAAAGCGUGGGGAGCGAGCAGG
rnacentral:rRNA from 1 species